rnacentral:rRNA from 1 species
AACGAACGCUGGCGGCAUGCCUAACACAUGCAAGUCGAACGAGACCUUCGGGUCUAGUGGCGCACGGGUGCGUAACGCGUGGGAACCUGCCCUUAGGUUCGGAAUAACUCCCCGAAAGGGGUGCUAAUACCGGAUAAUGUCUUCGGACCAAAGAUUUAUCGCCUUUGGAUGGGCCCGCGUUGGAUUAGCUAGUUGGUAGGGUAAAAGCCUACCAAGGCGACGAUCCAUAGCUGGUCUGAGAGGAUGAUCAGCCACACUGGGACUGAGACACGGCCCAGACUCUUACGGGAGGCAGCAGUGGGGGAUAUUGGACAAUGGGCGAAAGCCUGAUCCAGCAAUGCCGCGUGAGUGAUGAAGGCCUUAGGGUUGUAAAGCUCUUUUACCCGGGAUGAUAAUGACAGUACCGGGAGAAUAAGCUCCGGCUAACUCCGUG